rnacentral:tRNA from 2 species
GCGCCCGUAGCUCAGUUGGAUAGAGCGGCUGGCUUCGAACCAGUAGGCCGGGAGUUCGAGUCUCUCCGGGCGCACCA